CCGGCCCUCGGCGGUUGUGCGGCUCCGCCGCGGGGCCCUGGCGGUGGCCGUGGCUCCGGUGGCCCCGGUGGCACAGGGCUGUGCCCCUCCCGAGCGGCGGUGCUGGCACCGGGCUGCGGGGAGGGAACAGAGGGGCGGCUCUGCCCGCUGCCCCCGCCCCAGGGCAGCGGCGGCUGAGGGGAGCGCGUCCCGCCCCGGCGCCUGCGAGCUGCCGCCUCCGCUCCUCCAGGACGGGUCUCGCCUUUCUUCCCCGCCGGCGGCCGGAGAAGCGGCAUUUCACUGGGGGUUCGCGGAGUUUGCGUGGGGAAAGCUGGGAACAAGGCACGGCCAGAUCAGCGACUGAAAAUGGCACUUGGACACCACGAAACUGAUGAGGUUCUGAGAGUUACUGCUGAGCAGGAACAUGCCCUUGGCGGUGAUGGCACAUCAGGAUCCAGGAUGACAGACCAAAGCUUGUCAGCUCUAAUCACAGAGUAUGAUAAACACAUGGAGGAGAUGAAAGAACAGCUGCAGCUUUAUCAGGCACAAAUGAGUGAGAUGAAGCUAAAAUUGGAAGAAAUCACCAAGGAAAAUGAAAGGCUGCAUGCAGAGUUGAAAGAGUCUCUUGAGAAGCAACUGGAGGCUCUUCCUUUCAUGCAUCUGGAAACUGGUAUUCCUGCAGAUGAAGGCAUAGUGAGAACCCUUCAAGAGCAACUACGGCUGGCAAAGCAAGAAAAAGACCAAGCAGUUGACCGCUGGCAGACGCUGUUACAGGAGCACGAUCGACUUCAGCAGCAGUACCAGGAGCGCCUGACUGAAACGCAGAUUCUUGUGGCUGAAAGGAAAAAGCAGAAUGAUCAACUGACUAGCUUUCAGCAGUUGACUCGGCAGCUGCACAUGGCCAAGGAGAAGAUAGAGUUGACCAAUCAGCAGUUUCUGAAAACUGUGACAGAACAAAAUGUGGAACUAGAGCAGCUACGAAAACAACUGAGGCAAGCCAAAAUUGAUGGACAGGCAGCAAAUGCAAAGCUUGAAGAAAUGACAACAUUGAAAGAGAAGCUUCAGAGCCAGUUGGACAGAAAGGAAGAAGACAGGAUAUCUGCCCAGGAGAGAGAAACAACAUCUGACAAACGCUUGCAGCAAAUGCAGUCUAGUAUGAAACAAUUGGAAAUAAGAUUGUGUGUUACUAUUCAAGAUGCUGAACGGCUGAGAACAGAAAGAGUAGCCCUGGAGGAACAGAUCAGAGAGCUUCAGGCCAAGUCUGCCAAUCUAGAAAGUGAGAGGUAUGAUGCUGUUGUAAAAGUCCAAGAUUGCAUACAGCUCUUGGAAGAAGCUAACCUGGAAAAAAGUCAGGCAUUCUUUGAGGAGAAACAAAAGGAAGAAGAAAUCAAAAAACUGAAGGAUGAAAUGUCUCAACUUGCAGAAAGCACUGCUGCAAGAAUUAGAAAGGAAGUAGACACUGCAAAGAAGCAAUGUAAUGUGCAGGUUUCUCGGCUGACAGAAGAAGUUUCAGCUCUUCAGAUGGAAUGUGGAGAAAAACAGAGUCAAAUUGAACGAGCCAUUAGAGAAAAGAGAGCAGUGGAAGAAGAACUUGAAAAGGUUUACAGGGAGCACAGAGUGCAUGAAUCUAACAGUAGACAGCUCGAGCAGCUGCAUCAGAAGUAUUUACUUGCAGAAGCUGCCAAAGAUGACCUUCAGCUGAGUCUGCAGAUGAUACAAAAUAAACUGAAACAACUGGAAAUGAACUCUGAGGAAGAGAAAUCUCGUUGCCAGGAAGUUAUCUCUAAAUUGCAAAGCACUCUGGAUUCAGAAAGAGAAAAGAGUGCCUCUGUCAGUGAACAAAGACUAAAACUUCAGCAAGAGAAUGAACAAUUGCAAAAUGAAAUGGAUGGUUUGAGAAAACUGGCAGUGGAGGCUCAGCAAAGAGCUAAAAUAAAGAUAAGCACAAUGGAGCAUGAGCAUGCAGUGAAAGAACAUGGGUAUGAAGCUCGACUCAAGGAGAUGGAGGACACCAGUCACAAGUCCACUGCUGAGCUCAGACGUCUCUUAGUAGCUCAGCAAAAAGCAACAAACCGGUGGAAAGAGGAAACAAAAAACCUCACUGAAACUACAGAAGCCAGGAUUCGUAAUCUGAAGUACAGCACACUCAAUUUAGAGAAUUUUAGCUGUGGAUUAUGAGAACUUUACCUCUUCAGAAAAGCAUCAGUUGUGGAGUGAGUCUCCAGACUUCUAAAAUAAACUGGACAAAAACCUCGUAGAAUGUACAUCUCAAUGUUCUCUUCUGAGCACUUGUUGUCAUAAAUGAAGAUAAAAGUGGGUUGUGUGAUUGUCCUAAGAAAAAAUACGAAGGGCAAGGAGCCAGUUUUGCUUCACUAUCCUUGUGCCAGUGAACCCUGAAGGUAACUAAGAAGGUCAGUGCCCCUUGUGACAUGGGUCAUCAUUCUAAAUAAAACCUUUGCUCUUGGCAGCAUGGCUAACAACUCACUGCUAAGUUUAUUCCCUUUAUUCCCACAGUGUCUGCUCUGGCAGAGUCAGAAACCAAACUGCUCUGACCUCUGAUUGCAUCCAUUUUAAAUGUGCCUUGCAUUCUAGUGAUAGGUACUGACGUGAACUUAGACAGCAAAUGUUUACAAUUAUAAAAUAGCAGUAAAAUAGUAUAAAAUGAGUGAUCACUGUUAAAAGUUGUAAAAAAAGUCAUCUUUCAUAUUCUUUAUAGGGGUUUAAUUGGAAAACAAGUAUAGAAAUUUUAUAAAACUAUCAAACUUAUUUCAAAAUGUAAUUUCUUUAAUAACACAAAAAGAGCUUUUAAGUCUUAGUGAAAAAUUUAAGUAUUUUAUGUUUAUCAGUUUAACUGAUACUUGAGUUACUAUUUGAUUUUUCCCCCUCCUGCUGUAUAUCUGGAAUGUUGUCCAAGUAAUCUAAAUCACUGAAUCAGAAUUAGACUUAAUGUUGAAAAAGCUAUUUGGAUCUGCAGUGUCAUUCUCCACGAGUGGGUGUAGAAUUUGGUAAGAACUAGAAUCCAUGUUACUAUUGUUGCUAUCUACAAGGUGUAGAGCUUCCAGUUGUAAAGUUGUAGGCUCUAAGAUCACUGUCAGUUUGAAUGUCCUGAAAAUUUAAGGUCAUCUGCCUUUGACAGCCGUGGUAAAAAAAUCAGUAUCAAGUGCUUCCAGCUUUUUACUUUUCUUGUCUUCAUUUGAAAGAAUUUACUUUUGAAAGAAAUGAGGAAAGCAUGCACAAGUUUUUAAAAGCUCUUGCUUUCACUGAAGCGCUGUAAUCCAGAAGAAUGGUUCCUCUGGCCACAUUUGGGGGAAGAGGCUGGCUGAGACUGCUCUUGUUACAGCAUCAGUGUAAAGCUCUGUAGUUCUUCAGACUUCAGCUGAGAAGAAUAAAUGACAGCAGAUAGAAAGUGGAAUCAGCAACACCAAAGGAACAUUCAGGAAAUUUGCAAAUUGGAAGGAAACAAACUUCAGUAACAACAGAACAGAGGGUAGAAUGAGAAGGGGUGAGAGAGACAGUUCUGACAGCAGAAUUCAGGCAAAACCAGAUUAACUCAAUCUGCCAGCAUUUGCUGAAAGAAAAUGAAGUGACAGACUGUAUGCAAGUUUUAAAAGUAGAGGCAGAUGAUUCAUUUGUUCUGUAAAGCCCACUUUUACAGGUUUGUAGAUGAAUGCAUGAAUACAAAAGAUGGUUGAUCCCAUCUCAUUGGCAUAUCAGUAUUUUUUGUAGAUUUUUAUAUCCUUAUCCUGAGAAGGAAGAGUUGGGGUAGAGAAUUUUGCAGGUGAGCAGAUAAACCCUUUCCAGACUCUGCACCAGUGGCCAACACCAAGAGCUUAUUUUUGUUGAACACGAUUCUGGCUGGAGCAGGGAACAGAAGAAGAUUCACAUCGAUAAGCAAAGUUUUAUAUUGAAUCAAAUGAUUGAAUCAUCACAGAAUGCCCUUCAGUGGACUAGGUCUGAACAACAGCAGACAGGGAAAAAGGUAGAUACUCUUAACUUGAAAACCUGAUAGGAGAUUGACAGUUCUCUCAACUUUGCCAUGGAUAUUGCUUUGGCCUGUCAGACACGUAGGUGAUUGCUCAGUUUAGGUACAGUUUAGCUUGAAUAGGGGUAGAAAUAGGUAUAGACAGGUCUGUUCUACAAAACAGUGCAUGAAACAAUGUAUAAACAUUGGCUUAAAUGAUAGAGUAAGUUUGCUUCUAUGUAACAUUGCAUUUGAGGAGUUUUAAAAAUCUGAAGUCUUUAAUUACAGAA